rnacentral:misc_RNA from 1 species
GAUGAAGAACGUAGCGAAAUGCGAUAAGUAAUGUGAAUUGCAGAAUUCAGUGAAUCAUCGAAUCUUUGAACGCACAUUGCGCCCGCUAGUAUUCUGGCGGGCAUGCCUGUCCGAGCGUCAUUUCAACCCUCAAGCCCCCGGGCUUGGUGUUGGGGAUCGGCGAGCCUCCGCGCCCGCCUUCCCCUAAAUCUAGUGGCGGUCUCGCUGUAGCUUCCUCUGCGUAGUAGCACACCUCGCACUGGGAAACAGCGCGGCCACGCCGUUAAACCCCCAACUUCUGAACGUUUGACCUCGGAUCAGGUAGGAAUACCCGCUGAACUUAAGCAUAUCAAUAAGCGGAGGA